GUGGGGAAUAUUGCGCAAUGGGCGAAAGCCUGACGCAGCGACGCCGCGUGGGGGAUGAAGCUUCUCGGAGUGUAAACCCCUUUCGGCCCGGACGAAAAAUCCCGCAAGGGAUCUGACGGUACGGGUAUAAGAAGCCCCGGCUAACUACGUGCCAGCAGCCGCGGUAAGACGUAGGGGGCCAGCGUUGCUCGGAAUAACUGGGCGUAAAGGGUUCGUAGGCGGUGUGGCAAGUCGGGAGUGAAAUCCUGAGGCUUAACUUCAGGACUGCCUCCGAAACUGCCAUGCUCGAGUGCGGGAGAGGCGAGUGGAAUUGCAGGUGUAGCGGUGAAAUGCGUAGAUAUCUGCAGGAACACCAGUGGCGAAAGCGGCUCGCUGGACCGCAACUGACGCUGAGGAACGAAAGCUAGGGGAGCAAACAGGAUUAGAAACCCCGGUAGUCC
rnacentral:rRNA from 1 species